CGAGGGAUCGGGUUGAGGGGAGGCUAAGAAAGUCGCAUAACAAUUGAAUCAAUCAACUAAUAUUCAAGGGUAGUAUGUAAGAGAGAGUGGAAUAGAUGAAAUUGUUAGUACCCAACAACAUCCAUUCAUCCAUUGUUUUCGUUUGUCAAUUGAAUCAACCUUAUUUUUGAAUGUUAAUAUUUUUGUUCUCAAAUCGAAUUUAUUAAUUUUUAUUUCUCAAGUCUUAUUAUUUUAAUUCACACGAACGAGGAAGCCAUACGAGUCUCUUGGGAAAACGAUACUUGGUCUUACCAUUUAUAUUACUUGUACGAUUUGGUACACUUGCCAAUUUGUCAACAAGUUUUUGGCGUCGUUGCUGGGGACUCGAGGUUUAUUUGUCUAGUAGUGUGAAUUGGUUGAAUUUGACUUGAUUGUAAUUAUUUUUGUUUUUAUUUUUCUUUUUUUGCCUUUUGUUUUAUUUUCUAUAAAGGUGCUUUUAGGGUGUGUUUCUUGUGUAUGCAGGAAACAAUACAUACUAGAAGCAGGAAAAAAAUAACAACCUCUGCUAGAAGGUCUACCAUACGAGAGCAGGAAGAGACGUCCUUUACAUGAAGGAUCUCGUUCUCCAGAAGUUGUUUCGUAUUGUUGACCUGAGACUUCUGAACCAGAUAUUGAAGAGAUGGCCAAUCAACCUCCUCCC
rnacentral:lncRNA from 1 species